UCUCAGACUGUGCACUGAAUAACAAGACCCCAAGGAACACAGAAUCCAGGCCUAGGAGACCUGGAAUGUUUCCUACAUCACUCAUCAAUGACCUUCCAAUCAUCUAGGAAUCCAGCACAUCAAAGGAUGGCUGAUAGUACUUUCCACAAACUGGGACAUUCAGCCUGAAGGACUGGAAACUGAGCAGGAUCUAUGUUAAGAUGCUAAGGUGGAACAAUCCAGUGGUACCAGAAGAAAGAAACUGCUUAGAGAUCACAUGACCAAGACACCCAUAAGUAGCUGGGGAAGCUGGAAGAGUUGAUCUAAGGGACGGAAGGUUGCUCUGGAGUAGUUGGUGGACAUCUUUGAAGAUGAAGAUGACUGAGCAAGAUGGUGUUUCAUGUUUUUGAAAAAGGAGCCGGAGAUACUGUAAGAGAAGUUACCUUUGGAACUCCUCCCUGAGAAUUGACCGUUCAUGCUCAUUAACUCAUCAAUGGAAAAUUUUGCCCCAAGUGAACCGGAUAUUGAACCUUGGCAGGGUCCCUAGAGCAAUGACAGCUGUUGAUGCUGAUUGUAAAGAUACCUACCAGGAAACGAGGCACCGUUGGUCCACAUUUUGCUGGACUCACAUUUUCAGGAACCAGUUAGCUUAUGCACCCCCUCCCCGAUAAUUUCAAAUAUAGAUUUAUGAUACGUGUUUGGUUUUAUAUAUUAAAUAGGUAUCUGUCAAAGUGGGUAUCCAAAGUGAGGUAUUUUACUUUUUAUGAUUAGUAUUUGGCAUUUUAAUUAUAUGAAAUAGAUUUUGGGGAAUAAAACUCCAAUUCAAGAGGCAA